rnacentral:misc_RNA from 1 species
AAGUCGAAACAAGGUUUCCGUAGGUGAACCUGCGGAAGGAUCAUUAAAGAGUUAAGGGUCUCUGGCCCGAACCUCCAACCCUCUGUCGUUAUAACUACUUCGUUGCUUUGGCGGGACCGCGAAAGGUUCUCCCGAGCGCGCCGGUCUUCGGACAGGCGAGCGCCCGCCAGAGUCCAACCAAACUCUUGUUUUUAAACCAUGUCGUCUGAGUAUAAAAUUUUAAUUUAAAUUAAAA